GUGGGGAAUCUUCCGCAAUGGACGAAAGUCUGACGGAGCAACGCCGCGUGAGUGAAGAAGGUUUUCGGAUCGUAAAGCUCUUUCGUUAGGGACGAACGUGCUCUUUGUGAAUAAUGAGGAGUAAUGACGGUACCUAAAUAAGAAGCCACGGCUAACUACGUGCCAGCAGCCGCGGUAAUACGUAGGUGGCAAGCGUUGUCCGGAAUUAUUGGGCGUAAAGCGCGCGCAGGCGGGAUAUCAAGUCUGUCUUAAAAGUGGGAGGCUCAACCUCGUGAGGGGACAGAAACUGGUAUUCUUGAGUGUCGGAGAGGAAAGUGGAAUUCCAAGUGUAGCGGUGAAAUGCGUAGAGAUUUGGAAGAACACCAGUGGCGAAGGCGACUUUCUGGACGAUGUCUGACGCUGAGGCGCGAAAGCUAGGGGAGCGAACGGGAUUAGAAACCCGGGUAGUCC
rnacentral:rRNA from 1 species